rnacentral:rRNA from 1 species
CGCUGCGGCGUGCCUAAUACAUGCAAGUAGAACGCUGAAGAGAGGAGCUUGCUCUUCUUGGAUGAGUUGCGAACGGGUGAGUAACGCGUAGGUAACCUGCCUUGUAGCGGGGGAUAACUAUUGGAAACGAUAGCUAAUACCGCAUAACAAUGGAUGACACAUGUCAUUUAUUUGAAAGGGGCAAUUGCUCCACUACAAGAUGGACCUGCGUUGUAUUAGCUAGUAGGUGAGGUAACGGCUCACCUAGGCGACGAUACAUAGCCGACCUGAGAGGGUGAUCGGCCACACUGGGACUGAGACACGGCCCAGACUCCUACGGGAGGCAGCAGUAGGGAAUCUUCGGCAAUGGGGGCAACCCUGACCGAGCAACGCCGCGUGAGUGAAGAAGGUUUUCGGAUCGUAAAGCUCUGUUGUAAGUCAAGAACGAGUGUGAGAGUGGAAAGUUCACACUGUGACGGUAGCUUACCAGAAAGGGCGGCUA